rnacentral:rRNA from 1 species
GACGGAGGAUGCAAGCGUUAUCCGGAAUGAUUGGGCGUAAAGCGUCCGCAGGUGGCAGUUCAAGUCUGCUGUCAAAGACCGGGGCUUAACCCUGGAAAGGCAGUGGAAACUGAAGCGCUAGAGUGUGGUAGGGGUAGAGGGAAUUCCCGGUGUAGCGGUGAAAUGCGUAGAUAUCGGGAAGAACACCAGUGGCGAAGGCGCUCUACUGGGCCGACAACUGACGCUGAGGGACGAAAGCUAGGGGAGCGAAAGGG